rnacentral:rRNA from 1 species
UGACCCGUCUUGAAACACGGACCAAGGAGUUUAUCGUGUGCGCAAGUCAUUGGGUGUUGAAAACUCAAAGGCGCAAUGAAAGUAAAGAAUCCGCAAGGAUACGACGUGUGAUCUGAGCAAUCACGAUUGCCUGGAGCAACAUGGCCCCAUUCUGGUCGCUUGCGACGGGGUGGAGGAAGAGCGUACGCGGUGAGACCCGAAAGAUGGUGAACUAUUCCUGAGCAGGAUGAAGCCAGAGGAAACUCUGGUGGAAGUCCGAAGCGAUUCUGACGUGCAAAUCGAUCGUCUGACUUGGGUAUAGGGGCGAAAGACUAAUCGAACCAUCUAGUAGCUGGUUCCUUC